rnacentral:rRNA from 1 species
CCUACGGGAGGCAGCAGUGAGGAAUAUUGGUCAAUGGGCGAGAGCCUGAACCAGCCAAGUCGCGUGAGGGAGGACGGCCCUACGGGGUGUAAACCUCUUUUGCCGGGGGACAAACGGCGGCACGCGGGCCGUCCUGAGGGGACCCGGAGAAAAAGCAUAGGCUAACUCCGUGCCAGCAGCCGCGGUAAUACGGGGGAUGCGAGCGUUAUACGGAUUUAUUGGGUUUAAAGGGAGCGUAGAUGGGUUGUUAAGUCAGUUGUGUAAGUUUGCGGCUCAACCGGAAAAUUGCAAUUGAUACUGGCAGCCUUGCGUUCAGUUGAGGUAGGCGGCAUUCGUGGUGUAGCGGUGAAAUGCUUAGAUAUCACGAAGAACUCCGAUUGCGCAGGCAGCCUCCUAAACUGCCACUGCCAUUGAUGCUCG